ACUAAUCUAUAGGAUUAAAGUACAUAAUAUCAGAAAAUGGCCAUUGUGAGUGAAAUGUAGUCUGAUCCUAGAUUAACAUUAGAAUUACUCAUAUUACUAAUAUGUUUCAAGCAUUUGAAUGUUUCUGGACGACGUGUUUUGAUUGAGCAAUUUAACAUUCAUAGGUAUUUUAAUCUAUAACAAAGAAUUCACUAUGGUCCAUGUGUGUAAUGUAAAAGUGUGGCAACUACAACUGUCAAAUACAUGAAGUGGUAUGGAAUGAUAUGUCUCAUAUGCAAUGAAAAUAUGACAGUAAUGACACAACAUUAUAAAACAAUGAAAACAAUAAAGGUAAAUAUAUCAUUUGAACACAUAAAUGUAUUUCUGAGUGCAGAGCCCUCACCAGCGCACUGUGUUGGUGCAGGCCGCCACCUAGUGGCCGCGUAUCAGAUUGCAGGCGCGGCCGCCGCUGCGCCCCCCGCAGUGUACAAAAGUUUUACCAGCAGAAAUAUGUGACACAUCUCAGCGUUGCUGUCGCUCAGGAAACGUGCACUUCCGUUUUCGGUCACUUGGCCCCCACCCCCCACCCCCCAUCACCAGAUCGGUCACAUUUGUGCUCGGCGUUUGAAAAGCUGUAGAGCUGCAUUAUGUGGCAGGAGAAAUUGAAUCUAUUUAUAGGCUCCUUAUCGUCGAGCAAACAGAGCCCGGCUACAGUGCUUCACCCGGCCAGCGGUGCAGAGGAGGAGGCCUGUUGCUUUCCUUUUCUCCAGGGCAGGGGCGAGCAGGCGAUUUCAAUUCGACGGCUCCAUCUGCAGUGAAGAGUUCAGGUUUUUGUCUUUGUUUUUGUUUCGUUUUGUGUGUUUUUGUAUUAUCCCCCGCCCCCCACGAGGAGCUGAUGGAGUUUUCGGAGCACAUCAAGACCGCCAACGUGGAGGACGCAGUGCUCCGACAGCCCCUGCACCCGCCGAGCAGAGGCACCCUGUGCGUCACCGGCCACCACCUGCUCUUCUCGGACAGAGAGGAGGGGGGCUGCGGGCAGGUCCUACUGCUCCUCAGGAACAUCGAUGCCACCGACAAAAGUGUGGAAAACCUUUGGGGCUAUUCCGGCCUCUUCUCUAAUGCAGGCCGCAGUGACAGGAUAUCUGCAUCUUCUGGGACGAUUACCAUCAAGUGCAAAGAUCUGCGUGUGCUCCAGCUUGACAUCCCAGGCAUGGAGCAGUGCCUCAACAUUGCACACUCUAUCGAGACCCUGUCCUCGCUGGACCGCGUGCCAGAGAUGUACCCGUUCUUUUACAGACCUUCGGAUCUCAGCCUGCAGGACCCGUGGGGUCUCUCAUCCCCGGAAAAGCACUACAGUCAAAUGGAGGAGCUCCAUGAUAGGUGGAGACUAAGCAAUGUGAACAGAGGAUACUCAGUGUGUACCACCUACCCGCCAGCUGUCAUCGUCCCAAAGGAUAUAAACGAUGACAUGCUGCUGAAAGUGGCCAAAUUCCGACAGGGAGGACGCUUCCCUGUGCUCUGCUACUACCACAGGAAGAACGGCAUGGUAAUCAUGCGCAGCAGUCAGCCGCUGACAGGAGCCAACAGGAAGCGCUGCGGGGAGGACGAGCUCCUCCUCCAGGUUGUGAUUGACGGCUCAGACAAAGGUUACAUUAUUGACACCCGCUCCAGUCAGCAGGCUCAGCAGGCCCGCAUAACGGGUGGGGGGUUCGAGUCCAAAUCGUGCUACGGCCGCUGGAAGAGACUGCACAGACAGAUGGAAAGGGGCAAAGCCCUCCAGGAGAGUCUGAUCAAGCUGGUGGAGGCCUGUGGUGACGAGUCCCACAAUGUGGACCGCUGGCUCAGUAAGCUGGAGAAUUCAAAGUGGCUGUCCCACGUCCAGACGGCUCUGUCAACUGCAGGCCUGCUGGCCGAGUGUGUGGAGAGGGACGGUCAUUCAGUUCUGGUUCAUGGUUCUGAAGGGACCGACUCCACUUUGCUCAUCAGCACUCUGGCUCAGCUCAUCAUGGACCCAUGCUGCCGCACACUGGAGGGCUUCCUGGCUCUGCUGGAGAGGGAGUGGGUACAGGCGGGACACCCGUUCCAGCAGCGAUGUGCGCACUCGGCCUACUCCCAUGCUCGUCUCCAGCAGGAGUCGCCGCUCUUCCUGCUGCUGCUGGAUUGUGUGUGGCAGCUGUGGCGUCAGUUCCCUUUGGCGCUGGGCUUUUCGGAGGCGCUCCUCCUGAGGCUGGCCACCGAGGCCUACGUCUCCGACUACGGCACCUUCCUGUGCAACAGCGAUCAGGAGAGGUGUUCUCUACAAGUGAAGGAGAAGACUCACUGUUUGUUCCGGGCCCUGCUGAGGCCCAAGGAGAGAGAGCAUUACUCCAACCCCCUGUACGAGCACACUGAGCUGGCAAUCUGGCCCUCGGUGCACCCUCAGUCCCUGCAGCUCUGGAGAGGCUUUUUUCUGAGGUGGACCCAACAGGCUCGGCACCUCGAAGAGGCUCAGGAGGAAAUAAGAAACAUGGUCAUUGAGUGGGGGAGGCUGGCGCUCAGCUGAUAAAUGUUCUGACGUAUUGAUAUGUGGAGAUGGUCAGUCUGGACAUGAUGAACAUUUUGAAUAAGGCAAGUCAGCAUGUUUGCACACAUGGAGCUUUGCAAGCCCGAGACCAUGGUCCCGCUCAGUCAAGAGCCCCCAGCCCUGGUGAUUACACAAGGUGGACGAGAACCACAUAGCCCAGCAUGACUCUCUACACCUGCUUAU